rnacentral:rRNA from 1 species
GACGAACGCUGGCGGCGUGCUUAACACAUGCAAGUCGAACGCUGAAUCUCAGCUUUUGUUGGGUGGAUGAGUUGCGAACGGGUGAGUAACACGUGAGUACCCUGCCUCCUUCUUUGGGAUAACGCCCUGCAACGGGUUCUCAUACUGGAUAUUCACCGGUCUUCGCAUGGGGGUUGGUGGAAAGGGUUUUUCUGGUUGGGGAUGGGCUCUGGGCCUAUCAGCUUGUUGGUGGGGUGAUGGCCUACCAAGGCUUUGACGGGUAGACGGCCUGAGAGGGUGACCGGUCACAGUGGGACUGAGAUAAGGCCCAGACUGAUACGGGAGGCAGCAGUGGGGAAUAUGGCACAAUGGGGGAAAGCGGGAUGCAGCGACGCGGCGGGAGGGAUGGAGGCGGGCGGGUGGUGAAGCUCUUUCGCUCAUGGUCAAGCCGCAACAAGGGUUGUGGUGAGGGUAGUGGGUAAAGAAGCGCCGGCUAACUACGUG